rnacentral:piRNA from 1 species
UGACAAUGAAUCAUUUCCAAACAGCCCAGA